rnacentral:misc_RNA from 1 species
AACGCACAUUGCGCCCCUUGGUAUUCCGGGGGGCAUGCCUGUUCGAGCGUCAUUUCAACCCUCAAGCUCUGCUUGGUCUUGGGCACUGCUGGAAACAGCUUGCCUCAAAAUCAGUGGCGGUGCCAUUCGAGCUCUACGCGUAGUAAUAAACCCCUCGCGACUGAGCUUGAUGGAUGCUUGCCAGCAACCCUCAAUUUUGUUAAGGUUGACCUCGGAUCAGGUAGGGAUACCCGCUGAACUUAA